rnacentral:rRNA from 1 species
GACGAACGCUGGCGGCGUGCCUAAUACAUGCAAGUUGAGCGCUGAAGGUUGGUACUUGUACCAACUGGAUGAGCAGCGAACGGGUGAGUAACGCGUGGGGAAUCUGCCUUUGAGCGGGGGACAACAUUUGGAAACGAAUGCUAAUACCGCAUAAAAACUUUAAACACAAGUUUUAAGUUUGAAAGAUGCAAUUGCAUCACUCAAAGAUGAUCCCGCGUUGUAUUAGCUAGUUGGUGAGGUAAAGGCUCACCAGGGCGAUGAUACAUAGCCGACCUGAGAGGGUGUUCGGCCACAUUGGGACUGAGACACGGCCCAAACUCCUACGGGAGGCAGCAGUAGGGAAUCUUCGGCAAUGGACGAAAGUCUGACCGAGCAACGCCGCGUGAGUGAAGAAGGUUUUCGGAUCGUAAAACUCUGUUGGUAGAGAAGAACGUUGGUGAGAGUGGAAAGCUCAUCAAGUGACGGUAACUACCCAGAAAGGGACGGCUAACUACGUG